GAGAGCGUAGCUCAGUCGGUAGAGCAAAGGACUUUUAAUCCUUGGGUCGAGAGUUCGAGUCUCUCCGCUCUCA
rnacentral:tRNA from 1 species